AUACGGAGGGUGCAAGCGUUACACGGAAUCACUGGGCGUAAAGCGCGCGCAGGCGGCUAUUUAAGUUGGAUGUGAAAGCCUACGGCUCAACCGUAGAACUGCAUCCAAAACUAUUUAGCUAGAGUGUGGGAGAGGAAGAUGGAAUUAGUUGUGUAGGGGUAAAAUCCGUAGAGAUAACUAGGAAUACCAAAAGCGAAGGCAAUCUUCUGGAACACUACUGACGCUGAGGCGCGAAAGCGUGGGGAGCAAACAGGAUUAGAAACCCUAGUAGUCC
rnacentral:rRNA from 1 species